CCGGUACCUUCUCUAAAUGCCCUGACUCACACAAAAAGAGUCUCUCUAAUACUGCCACGUUCUGAGUCAACGCUCACUGUACAAGCCAGCCAAAACCACAUUGCUCAAAUUCAGAAUAAGGUAAAUGUAGGCUUCAGCUGAAGUCUCUGUCUCUCUCUCUCUCUCUCUCUCUCUCGUUCUCCUCCCUCUGUAAAAUUGCCCCUUAAGCGAAGCCGAGGCACUACUGUAAGAAGUGGCCCCCACACCCCCAAAACGCAUCGCCACAUACCACAGAGGGUUGACUGAAAAGUCAACUUUGCUCCUUUGCUUUCCACGCUAGGCUUAAUGUGAUUCUCCCUGCCUAUCUGAGUCUCUUAGUAGGCAAAGGGGCUCAGCGACAAUGCUGAAAGACCGUGACCAUGACAAUACAACGGGCAAACUGAUCACCAUUGUUCCAUGUCGGCACAUUGAGAAUGCAACCCACAGGAUUUGAAAACACUGCGUAGAAGCACAAAUAUCAUGACUGACAGGGUUUUGGGCUUUUUUUACAAUGAGUCCAGAACACAAGCCAGUAGAGAACUGGAUCAGCUGUGUACACUAGGGAUAGCGGCACGGGCCGAGAGAACAAACCGUGAAAAAGGGGCGAUUUCCCUUUUUUGGAGUGACGCGCAAGGUUGGAGAAGACCGGAGACCGGAGGCAGAUCCCACCGGGGUUAAAGGUAGAAUACCAAACGUUGACAGCGAGAGGGAGAAAUUACAGUGCUGCCAAAUGAGUUGGAAACUCUCUUGUUGAGGUACAAUUUUAAAAUCGCUAAUAGAGCUUCCUGUGUUCCUUGUGGAGUCUCCCUCGGCGACGCUUGGGAUAUUCACGAUCGCACUCACCCGAAAAAUUCUAAUUACAAUUUUUUUCUUCAUUUUUCAUAAACACAUUUUCAGGUACAUUUGCAACCUGUCACGGAGUCGGGGAGAACAUUAAAAUGCAGAUCAGCCCUGGGGGUCCUUCGCCUCUGCUCUUGAAUGUGAAUCGGUGACAAGGGUGGCGGUGACAUUGCCGGGGAAUGGUGCCUCCGCCUUGCGGUAGAUGCGUGGGGCUGGUAUGGG
ensembl:lncRNA